UACAGAGGGUGCGAGCGUUAAUCGGAAUUACUGGGCGUAAAGCGUGCGUAGACGGUAGCGUAAGUCAGAUGUGAAAGCCCCGGGCUCAACCUGGGAAUUGCAUUUGAGACUGCUCUGCUCGGGUGCGGAAGAGGGAAGCGGAAUUUCCGGUGUAGCGGUGAAAUGCGUAGAUAUUGGGAGGAACACCAGUGGCGAAGGCGGCUUUCUGGACGGUGUCUGACGCUGAGGCGCGAAAGCCAGGGGAGCAAACGGG
rnacentral:rRNA from 1 species